rnacentral:rRNA from 1 species
UCAAAUUUGAAAUCUGGCUUCGGCCCGAGUUGUAAUUUGCAGAGGAAGCUUCUGGUGCGGUGCCUUCCGAGUCCCCUGGAAUGGGGCGCCAUAGAGGGUGAGAGCCCCGUAUGGUCGGCCGCCUAGCCUGUGUGAAGCUCCUUCGACGAGUCGAGUAGUUUGGGAAUGCUGCUCAAAAUGGGAGGUAAAUUCCUUCUAAAGCUAAAUACUGGCCAGAGACCGAUAGCGCACAAGUAGAGUGAUCGAAAGAUGAAAAGCACUUUGAAAAGAGGGUUAAACAGCACGUGAAAUUGUUGAAAGGGAAGCGCUUGUGACCAGACUUGCGCCGGGCUGAUCAUCCGGUGUUCUCACCGGUGCACUCUACCCGGCUCAGGCCAGCAUCGGUUUUAGCGGGGGGAUAAAGGCCCCGGGAACGUAGCUCCCCCGGGAGUGUUAUAGCCCGGGACGUAAUGCCCCCGCCGGGACCGAGGACCGCGCUUCGGCAAGGAUGCUGGCGUAAUGGUCAU